rnacentral:rRNA from 1 species
CUACGGGGGGCAGCAGUCAGGAAUAUUGCGCAAUGGAGGAAACUCUGACGCAGUGACGCCGCGUAUAGGAAGAAGGUUUUCGGAUUGUAAACUAUUGUCGUUAGGGAAGAUAAAAGACAGUACCUAAGGAGGAAGCUCCGGCUAACUACGUGCCAGCAGCCGCGGUAAUACGUAGGGAGCAAGCGUUAUCCGGAUUUAUUGGGUGUAAAGGGUGCGUAGACGGGAAGACAAGUUAGUUGUGAAAUCCCUCGGCUUAACUGAGGAACUGCAACUAAAACUAUUUUUCUUGAGUGUUGGAGAGGAAAGUGGAAUUCCUAGUGUAGCGGUGAAAUGCGUAGAUAUUAGGAGGAACACCGGUGGCGAAGGCGACUUUCUGGACAAUAACUGACGUUGAGGCACGAAAGUGUGGGGAGCAAACAGGAUUAGAUACCCCGGUAGUC